rnacentral:rRNA from 1 species
ACAGGCUUAACACAUGCAAGUCGAGGGGCAGCAUGGUCUUAGCUUGCUAAGGCCGAUGGCGACCGGCGCACGGGUGAGUAACGCGUAUCCAACCUGCCUUACACUCUUGGACAGCCUUCUGAAAGGGAGAUUAAUACAAGAUGUUAUCAUGAGUAAGCAUUUUCACAUGAUUAAAGGUUUACCGGUGUAAGAUGGGGAUGCGUUCCAUUAGAUAGUAGGCGGGGUAACGGCCCACCUAGUCUUCGAUGGAUAGGGGUUCUGAGAGGAAGGUCUCCCACAUUGGAACUGAGACACGGUCCAAACUCCUACGGGAGGCAGCAGUGAGGAAUAUUGGUCAAUGGACGAGAGUCUGAACCAGCCAAGUAGCGUGAAGGAUGAAGGUUCUAUGGAUUGUAAACUUCUUUUAUACGGGAAUAAACGGAUCCACGUGUGGAUUUUUGCAUGUACCGUAUGAAUAAGGAUCGGCUAACUCCGUGCCAGCAGCCGCGGUAAUACGGAGGAUCCGAGCGUUAUCCGGAUUUAUUGGGUUUAAAGGGAGCGUAGAUGGGUUGUUAAGUCAGUUGUGAAAGUUUGCGGCUCAACCGUAAAAUUGCAAUUGAUACUGGCAGUCUUGAGUACAGUUGAGGUAGGCGGAAUUCGUGGUGUAGCGGUGAAAUGCUUAGAUAUCACGAAGAACUCCGAUUGCGAAGGCAGCUUACUAACCUGUAACUGACAUUGAUGCUCGAAAGUGUGGGUAUCAAACAGGAUUAGAUACCCUGGUAGUCCACACGGUAAACGAUGAAUACUCGCUGUAGGCGAUAUACAGUCUGCGGCCAAGCGAAAGCAUUAAGUAUUCCACCUGGGGAGUACGCCGGCAACGGUGAAACUCAAAGGAAUUGACGGGGGCCCGCACAAGCGGAGGAACAUGUGGUUUAAUUCGAUGAUACGCGAGGAACCUUACCCGGGCUUAAAUUGCAACCGAAUAUGGCGGAAACGCUAUAGCUAGCAAUAGCGGUUGUGAAGGUGCUGCAUGGUUGUCGUCAGCUCGUGCCGUGAGGUGUCGGCUUAAGUGCCAUAACGAGCGCAACCCUUGCCGAUAGUUACUAACAGGUCAUGCUGAGGACUCUGUCGGGACUGCCAUCGUAAGAUGUGAGGAAGGUGGGGAUGACGUCAAAUCAGCACGGCCCUUACGUCCGGGGCUACACACGUGUUACAAUGGGGGGUACAGAGGGCUGCUACCACGCAAGUGGAUGCCAAUCCCAAAAACCUCUCUCAGUUCGGAUUGAAGUCUGCAACCCGACUUCAUGAAGCUGGAUUCGCUAGUAAUCGCGCAUCAGCCACGGCGCGGUGAAUACGUUCCCGGGCCUUGUACACACCGCCCGUCAAGCCAUGGGAGCCGGGGGUACCUGAAGUGCGUAACCGCAAGGAGCGCCCUAGGGUAAAACUGGUGACUGGGGCU